CUACGGGGGGCAGCAGUGGGGAAUCUUAGACAAUGGGCGCAAGCCUGAUCUAGCCAUGCCGCGUGAGUGACGAAGGCCUUAGGGUCGUAAAGCUCUUUCGCUGGGGAAGAUAAUGACGGUACCCAGUAAAGAAACCCCGGCUAACUCCGUGCCAGCAGCCGCGGUAAUACGGAGGGGGUUAGCGUUGUUCGGAAUUACUGGGCGUAAAGCGCGCGUAGGCGGAUCAGAAAGUUGGGGGUGAAAUCCCGGGGCUCAACCCCGGAACUGCCUUCAAAACUCCUGGUCUUGAGUUCGAGAGAGGUGAGUGGAAUUCCGAGUGUAGAGGUGAAAUUCGUAGAUAUUCGGAGGAACACCAGUGGCGAAGGCGGCUCACUGGCUCGAUACUGACGCUGAGGUGCGAAAGCGUGGGGAGCAAACAGGAUUAGAUACCCUAGUAGUC
rnacentral:rRNA from 1 species